rnacentral:rRNA from 1 species
GCAACUGUUUACCAAAAACACAGGUUUGUGCUAAAUCGAAAGAUGACGUAUACGAGCUGACGCCUGCCCGGUGCUGGAAGGUUAAGAGGAGAUGUGCAAGCAUUGAAUCGAAGCCCCAGUGAACGGCGGCCGUAACUAUAACGGUCCUAAGGUAGCGAAAUUCCUUGUCGGGUAAGUUCCGACCCGCACGAAAGGUGUAACGAUUUGGGCACUGUCUCAACGAGGGACCCGGUGAAAUUGAAAUACCUGUGAAGAUGCAGGUUACCCGCGACUGGACAGAAAGACCCCAUGGAGCUUUACUGUAACCUGACAUUGGGUUUUGAUACAUUACGUACAGGAUAGGUGGGAGGCUUGGAAAGCUGGACGCUAGUCUGGCUGGAGCCGACGUUGGGAUACCACCCUUGAUGUAUUGAAAUUCUAACCGCGAGAGUAACGAAAUCCGGGACAGUGUCAGGCGGGCAGUUUGACUGGGGCGGUCGCCUCCGAAAGAGUAACGGAGGCGCCCAAAGGUUCCCUCAGCGCGGCCGGAAAUCGCGCGAAGAGUGUAAAGGCAGAAGGGAGCUUGACUGCGAGUCAAACACGACGAGCAGGUACGAAAGUAGGGCUUAGUGAUCCGGUGGUACCGAGUGGAAGGGCCAUCGCUCAACGGAUAAAAGCUACCCUGGGGAUAACAGGCUAAUCUCUCCCAAGAGUCCAUAUCGACGGGGAGGUUUGGCACCUCGAUGUCGGCUCAUCACAUCCUGGGGCUGAAGUCGGUCCCAAGGGUUGGGCUGUUCGCCCAUUAAAGUGGUACGUGAGCUGGGUUCAGAACGUCGUGAGACAGUUCGGUCCCUAUCCAUCGCGGGCGCAAGAGAUUUGAAGGGGGCUGCUCCUAGUACGAGAGGACCGGAGUGGACGAACCGCUGGUGUACCAAUUAUCCCGCCAGGGGUACAGUUGGGUAGCUACGUUCGGAAAGGAUAAACGCUGAAAGCAUCUAAGCGUGAAACCAGCCUUAAGAUGAGAUCUCUCAUAGAGCAAUCUAGUAAGACACCUUAAAGAAGAUGAGGUUGAUAGGUCGGGAGUGUAAGUACAGCAAUGUAUUGAGCGGACCGAUACUAAUAUGUCGAGGGCUUGACUUA